GUUCUUUGACACAAAAAACCUAAAAAUCAGUCUGAACUCAAACUUGUAAAUCCGAAUGAAGUCCCAUUCCACAGAAAGUGUAAACAAUUCUCAAGUGUAUUUCCUGUUUCAUGCACUUUAGAAAAAAAAGUUUAAAAACAUUCACACAGCUUAUCUACAAUGCAUUUUUAAAAGCACAGAAUGGAUGCAAGCCCAAAAAAUUUCUAACCUAGGUUGUGUUUUAACAUCUCUAGGAACUUAAUCGGAAGGUGGCUGAACUCUGCGCGUAUGUGGAGACACGAACAUACCACCUGCAGCAAAGUGAUGCUAAAAGGAGAGGACAGAAACACCUAAGGUGGGCGAUAUGCCUAGUUUAUUAUAAGCUCAAGGCAAUCAUGUCUAACUACACAAAGCAAUGCUUGGAGGUGGCUGAUUUUGUGUUAGAUUGUUUUUCCAUCCCAUCUUAAUUAUCAUGUGAAUCAUCUUUGACAAAUUCAGAUAACCCAUUUGCUGCAUCUUCAGAAUCACUUAGGUAAGCCAGGAGUGCACUGUCCUCAAAGCAUUAUCUCAUAGAGCCUCUGAAUUGUCAGCUUCAUGGUUUUCCAAAGCUGGGUGGAGAGUAUUUUAGUAAAUUCUGUAACAGUUCAUUAUGCCUAUUGAAAAAAUGCAGUGGCAUAACACUGAGGCACAGACCUACUAGAUUCCAUGUGCUAGCUCUCCAACAUGGAGCCAGAUGACCUUGGGUAAGUCAUUUAAACCACUUACUCAAUUUCUUUACCUAUAAACUGAUGGCAAUACUCGAAAACUAUAAAUCACAAAAUAUUAUGACAUGUAACGAGGUAAUUUUAUACAGUCGUUGACAGAGUGGGCUAUCAAUAGGAACUCACUACCAAAUUUUCCAUACGUGGCCAAAGGGGAAAGAAAUCAUCAGCUUAUCCAUCAGUUUUUUAAAAAAUCCUUGUUAAACCUAUUACACACCCAUAGAAAUUUACAUUUGUAUUCUAACAAGUUUGGGUAAAAGAAAUCUUGAUACACGACUUAAAACAAAGACCAAAAAUGAGUUAAAAGUUCUUGAAUGCUCUUCUACAUCAUUAUAUCACAGCUAGAGGAUAGUGAUCAUCAGACGGAUGUGUUGAAUUUACUAAAGAUAUCUCAGAGAUGUAAAAAUAUAUUCUAGUGCACUAUACAUCUUUGCUACUUAAAAGCAAAAUUGAAAUUUACUCUUAACUACCCCAAAUUGAAGCACCAUUAUUAAAAACAUUUAAACUGUGGAAAUUCUAUAAAAAUUAGUCUUAAACAGAACCACAUAAAACUGUGCACUAAUACCUCUAGUGUAACAGUGUACCUUAUAUUUAAAACAAGGGACUAGUUCAGAGUCAAUGCCUUUAUUAGAAAAAGAUGAAUACUAAAACUUUCCAAUGACAGAGACAAUCAAAUCUGUAACAGAAAGUCAGAGAUACUUUAUUUUCACUUCUAAAUCCAAAGGCUAGGAAUAGCAGAGUUGUAAAAAUGGAAUCCCACUUAGUCUGAUUCACACGAAUACUAACGUUUAAUCCUGUUUUCAAAGUCCAAGAGUGAAAACUUGCAAUUAAACACUGAGCAAGCCACAUGUUUAGGUAAUAUUUCUUAAAAAGUCUUAAAGAAAAAAAUAUGAUACAUGACCUAAGUUUUCAGUGGCAUAUAUAUAUUAACACAUGUUCUGAAAUCUGGUAGGUCACAUGAGUCCUGAAUUAAUUUUUAAUAAUAAUAAUAAAAAAAAACAACUAACUGAGCUUUAUACUUUUUCUAUGCCACUAUAGUUUUCUUUCACCUCAUUUUAAUGUCGGUCUUCACUUUAUGCCGUUUUCAGUUUUCUUCCAAAAAUCUUCGAACAGUAGUCCUAUAAUGCAAAAUUUGGGGAAAAAUGAUAAUUAGACAGCAUGUAAAAGGCAAUCUUUUAUGACUAAGUGUUGGCCCAGUCACUAACUGCUAAUAAUAUAUGUAUAUGGAAUGUUUUUGUAUUCUUUUUCAUUAUCAAGGCAUCAGUGUGGUCUUAAAGCCAUGUGCCUGUGUAUACUUGCCUAUGUGGGAAUGGCUCACAUAGACAUCACAUUAUACUGCUGUCCUAGAAAAGGAAUGCCACCGAUAAAUCAACUAAUUGGUACUCCCUUUCAUUAGGAAUGUUCUAUCCCACGCCACUAGCCCAAAGAAUGAAUAGUUUGUAGGUUUUAAGAACUCUGAUAAAACCUGACUUUUAAUAGUUCUUUAAAAACCCAAAUUCAUUCUGUUUGGUUCAUCAGUUCUUUACAUUUCAGAUUGAAAAUGUCUAUCCUUGCUAUUCACUGCUGCUUUAAAUGUAUCAGCCAGCGACUAUUCCUAUAUACCUAUGGUUGACGGCAAAAUUCUCCUACACAGUAGGAAAUAUUAAACACAUACCUCUUAAAGACUUGAGAAUUGCAUUGAAUGUAACAAGGCGAAUAAUAUGAAGUGUUUAUUGUAUUUAAAAUUCUUUAAAGAUAUCUAAUUCUGGGCACCACUGCAUCCCUACAUACAGUUGAAAAAAAAUUCCAUUCUGUUAACAUUUGAUUUAUAAGUUUCACGCAAUACACAAAAAACCCCUCUGUGCUUCUUGUAAAGAACAAAAAAGAUACACAACAGUUAAGCGUAAAGAUCACAGGCAAUAGCAUUCAAACAUGGAUGUGGGUAGAGAAAGGAGUACCUGGCAUGAGUACCUGCUUAGUUUGACUGAAUCCUUGAUUUUUAAUUUGGCUUUUCAUGGGCCGCUCACAACACCAACGCUGUGUGAGGUAUGGUAGUCAGCUGCAAUAAUUCAUAAACCCUACACUUCCAUCAAUCCAAUGCUACUGGCUCUCGAGUUACAGAACAAACUGCAUUAGAAUGCAAGGCAAUAAAGCAAAAAACUAGAAACAUCCUUGACAAAGAAAUAACUAGCAGUUUAAUUAAAACAAAGUAGUCCAACAUGUGCCUCAGAAAUAUUUAAGUUUUUAAAGCAAUGUCUCUGCCAAUGUACCAACACAAGAUGGACUUAAUACCAAAAAGAAAAAAAAAAAAACAGUUCAACCUUUUUAUUUAAAAAAAUAAAAAGAAAUGA